AUUGAACGCUGGCGGCAUGCCUUACACAUGCAAGUCGAACGGUAACAGGUCAAGCUGACGAGUGGCGAACGGGUGAGUAAUAUAUCGGAACGUGCCCAGUCGUGGGGGAUAACGUAGCGAAAGCUGCGCUAAUACCGCAUACGAUCUCUGGAUGAAAGCGGGGGACUCGCAAGAGCCUCGCGCGAUUGGAGCGGCCGAUAUCAGAUUAGGUAGUUGGUGGGGCAAAAGCCCACCAAGCCGACGAUCUGUAGCUGGUCUGAGAGGACGACCAGCCACACGGGGACGGAGACACGGCCCAGACUCCUACGGGAGGCAGCAGUGGGGAAUUUUGGACAAUGGGCGAAAGCCUGAUCCAGCCAUGCCGCGUGCAGGACGAAGGCCUUCGGGUUGUAAACUGCUUUUGUACGGAACGAAACGGCUCUCUCUAAUACGGGGGGCUAAUGACGGUACCGUAAGAAUAAGCACCGGCUAACUACGUGCCAGCCGCCGCCGUAA
rnacentral:rRNA from 1 species